UAAAGGUGUGUAAUAUAUCUACAGGUGUGUUGUAUAUCUACAGGUGUGUUGUAUAUCUACAGGUGUGUUGUAUAUCUACAGAUGUGUUGUAUAUCUACAGGUGUGUAAUAUAUCUACAGGUGUGUUGUAUAUCUACAGAUGUGUUGUAUAUCUACAGAUGUGUUGUAUAUCUACAGAUGUGUUGUAUAUCUACAGGUGUGUAAUAUAUCUACAGGUGUGUUGUAUAUCUACAGAUGUGUUGUAUAUCUACAGAUGUGUUGUAUAUCUACAGAUGUGUUGUAUAUCUACAGAUGUGUUGUAUAUCUACAGGUGUGUAAUAUAUCUACAGGUGUGUUGUAUAUCUACAGGUGUGUUGCGUGUC